GAUGAACGCUGGCGGCGUGCCUAAUACAUGCAAGUCGAGCGAACAGACGAGGAGCUUGCUCCUCUGACGUUAGCGGCGGACGGGUGAGUAACACGUGGAUAACCUACCUAUAAGACUGGGAUAACUUCGGGAAACCGGAGCUAAUACCGGAUAAUAUAUUGAACCGCAUGGUUCAAUAGUGAAAGACGGUUUUCCUGUCACUUAUAGAUGGAUCCGCGCCGCAUUAGCUAGUUGGUAAGGUAACGGCUUACCAAGGCAACGAUGCGUAGCCGACCUGAGAGGGUGAUCGGCCACACUGGAACUGAGACACGGUCCAGACUCCUACGGGAGGCAGCAGUAGGGAAUCUUGCGCAAUGGGCGAAAGCCUGACGGAGCAACGCCGCGUGAGUGAUGAAGGUCUUCGGAUCGUAAAACUCUGUUAUUAGGGAAGAACAAAUGUGUAAGUAACUAUGCACGUCUUGACGGUACCUAAUCAGAAAGCCACGGCUAACUACGU
rnacentral:rRNA from 1 species